rnacentral:rRNA from 1 species
AAACGCUUGAAGUCAGUCGCAUUGCAUGGGAAUCAACCUUGCUUUUGCUGGGUGUAUUUUCCAUGUGGUGGGUCAGCAUCAAUUUUGACCGUUGGAUAAAGGUCAGGGGAAUGUGGCAUCUUCGGAUGUGUUAUAGCCCUUGGUUGUAUACAACGAUUGGGAUUGAGGAACUCAGCACGCCGAAAGGCCGGGUCUUGUACCACGUUCGUGCUUAGGAUGCUGGCAUAAUGGCUUUAAUCGA